rnacentral:rRNA from 1 species
AGAGUUUGAUCAUGGCUCAGGAUGAACGCUAGCGACAGGCUUAACACAUGCAAGUCGAGGGGCAGCGGGGGUGAAGGCUUGCCUUCACCUGCCGGCGACCGGCGCACGGGUGAGUAACACGUAUGCAACCUGCCUGUGACAGUGGGAUAAUCCGGAGAAAUCCGGUCUAAUACCGCAUGAUCCCCUGUGGAGACAUCUCCGCGGGGGCAAAGGAAGUGAUUCCGGUCACGGAUGGGCAUGCGUCGCAUUAGCUAGUUGGCGGGGUAACGGCCCACCAAGGCGACGAUGCGUAGGGGUUCUGAGAGGAAGGUCCCCCACACUGGUACUGAGACACGGACCAAACUCCUACGGGAGGCAGCAGUGAGGAAUAUUGGUCAAUGGGCGCGAGCCUGAACCAGCCAAGUCGCGUGAGGGAAGACGGUCCUAUGGAUUGUAAACCUCUUUUGCCGGGGAGCAAAAGGAGCCACGUGUGGCUCAUCGAGAGUACCCG